GAUACAUGCGAUGCCUGGGGAGGGGUCAUAGGUUAACCCAUGAACUCAUUCGGAAAGUUCAAACCAUCCAUCAUAAGGUCACCGGAAGUUCAACCUGUCAAAAGGUCAAAGGUCAAAGUCGUAAAUCAUCUUGACACAAGCUGUAUCAUAAUCACUACUUAUAUAUAUUAGUAUUAUAAUUAUAAGUAGUAUAACUACUGAACAUUUAAAGAUUUAAACGACCUAUGAUGUAAAUGUAGACAGUUUCCUGUCAGCUGUUAAUUUGUUGUAGCUCAGAGCCCUGUUUCUCUGUCUAAUUUCAGCACCCAGCCUGCAUAUCACAAAUUUCUUGAUGGAGAUCGAUUCUAUGAGGCUGGCAUGUUCUGGAUGGGUGCUGAGGAGGCUAUUGAAAGCACCCAGAGUCUCUAGAGUCAUCUCCAAAUGGUUGGUGAUGUUGGAGUGAGGCCAGAAGGUGUUGCUGUAUCUUGCAAACUCCCCCUCCAACAGCUGGAUGGCCUCAAAAUACUCCUCUGACGGCCUUGAACUGCCAGCCUGCCACCCAGCUUAUGCAGUUGACAAAUCAAGUUCUCCUUCUCCUGGCUUCCUGUACCAAGGGGUUGUCUCCAGGGGUUUGAAUUCUUGGCAGACCUAAUUAAGGAUUAAGGAAUAUGUAAAGCUCAGAAACUGGGAGACUGCAUGUAGGGUAGUUGUAGAUAGGUAUGUAUGGGUAGGUGUGUCGUAGUUAGUAGGUAGGUUGCAGUUAGUAGGUUGAAGUUAGUUGGUUGUUUGUAUGUUUGUUAAGUUAUUUUUUUUUUGUUUUGUUUUAGAAUUACCUGGAGUUCAGGACAUCGAAAAGGCGAUUUAUUCUGGCAAUAAAUUCGGCAGUGUCUUUUGCUUCUGCCAGCAGCCUCUUCAGUGACACCAUUGCUGAAAUGCCUGGGUCACAACAGAUGUGAGAACUUAAUAGGAGGCCAUAUUUGAAGAGGUUGUUCCUGAUGGACUUCAGUAGGGGUGGGACAUCGAAGACCACAGGAACCCUCUGAACACCUACCAGAAUGCAGUGGGAAUCCUCGCCACCCAGCGGGUCCAGGGUGGCCCCAAGUUCCGAAUGGCAUCCUUAAUGAUGCUGGCGAUUUCCACGGCUGCCAUAGGACCAGGGGAGAAGAAAUAACCCAUGGCCUGUUGAAGGACAAAGUUUUAGGGGUCACGGUGGAGGCGAUCACUCCCAUUUGGGAAAUGAUUCCUUGCAGGAAGCCUGGCUGUUGGAACAAGAAAGUAAGUUAAAUUAACAGUUUUGUGUACAUUUUCAAAUUGUU
ensembl:lncRNA